AUAAUAAAUUCAUAUUGUCGUAUUAGCAUGAGCUCAAAAAAACUUGGACGACCUGUGAAAGUUUUAAACAAAACUUGUAUUAAUAGUGGAAGAUUUGCUGGAAAAGCCUCUGAUUUACCCGUAAGCGAUCUACCAAAUUAUAAACAGGUCAUUCAAUACGGUUACAAGGUUGAGAAAGAAUUGUUUAAUGGACAGAAACUUGACUCUGUAUCAAUCGUAACUAAAGUCAAUAGUGACUUGCAACAGCUUUGGUGUAGGGUUAAUCCAAAUCUACCUCUGAUGAAAGAGAAACCAUUGAAAAAUAAAAUAUCAAGAUCAUUUCUAAAGGUGUUGUCUGCAGAACGAACUCAAUCUAAAAACCAUAAGUCCAGUAUAAGGUGGCUAGAAAAGAAACUGGAAACAUUGUUUGAUGUGUCUGCUUGCCGGUGCGAUCUUUCAAUUAUUGAUGAUUGUCAUGAUAGACGAAUUGGAUGUCGGAAAAGUAAUUGCACAAUGAAUCACAUAGUUUGUCUCUGUGAGGAAAGUAGAAAGGUAAUUCAUGCCAUUUUUGUGUUGAUAUUAUUAGGCAUUUACAGUUAAAAUUCAUAAUAAUGUAAGGUUUGGAAAAAUAAAAUAGUCUAAAGUCAUUUUAAAAAUCGCUGCUCUUUUACGAAGUUAUGUUAAAAUUAUUAUUGAUUACUAAUCAUUUGACUGUUAAUUCUUUCUAUUUACUUUAAA